GCUGCCUGGUGGGUUCGGGGCUGUGUCCUGCCGCUCUCCCCGUGUCCAAGAGAUGUCAACAGUAAGCAGCAAAAGAAAAUUGCAACCUGUAUGUGGAGUUGAGAAGAGCAGGAAGGUCGUGGAGAAAUGAAUGGACCAGCCCACCAGUUCAUGAUUUCAUUAUUUGUGAGAGGCACAACAGCUGCAGUUUAGGAAUUUUAGGAAGAGGAACAUGGUGUUCAUAGGAGACACAAAUCUACAAGAAUCUUAUAUGAGCCACUGGAUUUGGUACUAUGAAUGGAUCGGUUCCAGCUUUGUGCUCUAAAUCUUCCUCCUGCUGCCUGUCACAUCUCUGCAUUCCUCUCCCAGUGCCCUUCUCCAAUCUUUCUCCUGUUACCAGCCCCAACCCACUUAUUCUUAACCCCCACCCCGACACACACACAUGCACGUGCAACAGCAGACAGAAAACAGAAUGAUGCUUCUCCCUCAUCUGUGUCCUGUUUGACUCUGCCAGGAUUUCAUCCUCUCCACUCUGAGGUGAAGGGAACAGUUUGACCCUAUGUUGCUAUUAAAAAAAAAAAAAAGUGAAAUGGGAUCUGGGUGUCUAAAGUUAGCAUUUUUAUUAUAGCUAAAGCAGUUUUAUUUGAGGAGACCAGGAGGGUUACAAAUACUUAAACUGGAUAGUUGCAAUAAUUCUUUUAAAAUAUUGUAAUUCAACAAGCACUUCCUAUUGAUAACAAAUGUGAACUAAUUUAUAUCCACAUGAAAACCAGUAAAUGUGGCCAGUUCCAUUCCAUUGAUUUAUUAUUAUUAUUUUAUUAUUAUACAUGGCCAGAGUAACUGUAAGCAC